UACGGAGGGAGCUAGCGUUGUUCGGAAUUACUGGGCGUAAAGCGUGCGCAGGCGGUGAUGUAAGACAGUUGUGAAAUCCCCGGGCUCAACCUGGGAACUGCAUCUGUGACUGCAUCGCUGGAGUGCGGCAGAGGGGGAUGGAAUUCCGCGUGUAGCAGUGAAAUGCGUAGAUAUGCGGAGGAACACCGAUGGCGAAGGCAAUCCCCUGGGCCUGCACUGACGCUCAUGCACGAAAGCGUGGGGAGCAAACAGG
rnacentral:rRNA from 1 species